rnacentral:rRNA from 1 species
GUUCGCCGCUCAACUUGGUGACUCUGAAUAACUUUCGGCUGAUCGCACGGUCUCGCACCGGCGACGCAUCUUUCAAAUGUCUGCCUUAUCAACUGUCGAUGGUAGGUUCUGCGCCUACCAUGGUCGUAACGGGUAACGGGGAAUCAGGGUUCGAUUCCGGAGAGGGAGCCUGAGAAACGGCUACCACAUCCAAGGAAGGCAGCAGGCGCGCAAAUUACCCACUCCCGGCACGGGGAGGUAGUGACGAAAAAUAACGAUACGGGACUCAUCCGAGGCCCCGUAAUCGGAAUGAGUACACUUUAAAUCCUUUAACGAGGACCAAUUGGAGGGCAAGUCUGGUGCCAGCAGCCGCGGUAAUUCCAGCUCCAAUAGCGUA